AUGAACGCUGGCGGCGUGCCUAAUACACGCAAGUCGAGCGAACGGACGAGAAGCUUGCUUCUCUGAUGUUAGCGGCGGACGGGUGAGUAACACGUGGAUAACCUACCUAUAAGACUGGGAUAACUUCGGGAAACCGGAGCUAAUACCGGAUGAUAUUUUGAACCGCAUGGUUCAAAAGUGAAAGACGGUCUUGCUGUCACUUAUAGAUGGAUCCGCGCUGCAUUAGCUAGUUGGUAAGGUAACGGCUUACCAAGGCAACGAUGCAUAGCCGACCUGAGAGGGUGAUCGGCCACACUGGAACUGAGACACGGUCCAGACUCCUACGGGAGGCAGCAGUAGGGAAUCUUCCGCAAUGGGCGAAAGCCUGACGGAGCAACGCCGCGUGAGUGAUGAAGGUCUUCGGAUCGUAAAACUCUGUUAUUAGGGAAGAACAUAUGUGUAAGUAACUGUGCACAUCUUGACGGUACCUAAUCAGAAAGCCACGGCUAACUACGUG
rnacentral:rRNA from 1 species